rnacentral:tRNA from 1 species
GGGAGUAGCUCAGUUGGUAGAGCAUCAGCUUCCCAAGCUGAGGGUCGCCGGUUCGAGUCCGGUCUCCC